rnacentral:lncRNA from 1 species
UUCCUUCACCUACACCUUCACCUGCAACACCGGUAACACCUUCACCUCCAUCACCUUCUACACCUUCACCUACUACCCCUGUAACUCCUUCACCUACGACACCUGUAACACCUUCACCUCCUUCCCCUUCAACACCUUCACCAUUUCCUUCACCUACAACACCUUCACCAUUUCCUUCACCUACGACACCUGUAACACCUUCACCUCCUUCCCCUUCAACACCUUCACCGUUUCCUUCACCUACGACACCUGUAACGCCUUCACCUCCUUCGCCAUUUCCUUCACCUACGCCACCUGUAACACCUUCACCUCCUUCCCCUUCAACACCUUCACCUACAACACCUUCACCAUUUCCUUCACCUACGACACCUGUAACGCCUUCACCUACGACACCUGUAACACCUUCACCUCCUUCGCCAUUUCCUUCACCUCCGUCAUUUCCUUCACCUACGCCACCUGUAACUCCUUCACCAGUAC